CAUCCAAAAGUGCUUUUGGAGGGUCAGAAAGUACUUUUUGGCCCUCUACAAGCUCCCCUAAAUGGGGCCUAAAUUAUCUGCACAAACCUGUAGAUUUGGACUGAUUUUACGGUUGCAAAGUCAACCCCAACUGGCUUCUGACAGUUGAACUUCUACAAAGGUUGCUGUGCUGGAGAGCAAGAAAGGCCGAGGAGUUGGUAUGUCUGGAGGACAGUGAUAUGUUCCAUCUGGGUGAACUGAAACUUUCAGGCUAUCCAUCUCAACUGCAGUAACAUAGUGAUCUAUGACCUGUGUGGUCCAGCUUGCUAAUAGCGAGGGUAUCCCCUUAGAGUGGGGAGAAGGCAUAUUGAAUCCCCUGCAUAAGAUAUGUUGAGAUCAUCCAGGUUAUCAAUUCAGCAGAUUCAAGACGGUAUCUGUUGCAGAAUGCUGAUGAGAUGGCCAUUGGAGGAGGCUACUACAUCGUGUAUUGGAGAGGUCUAGUCUUGCAAUCAUGGCUCUUUGCAUAAUGUGCGACGGUUGUGAUUGAUUAUGCCAGCUCCAUAUAUCAUAUAAUGUGGUCUUAUUUACGACUUGUAACUCUUUGUACACUGUGCGAUGGUUGUGAUUAUGCGAGCUUCAUGAUAUCAUGAUGUGAUCUUAUUUACUAUAUGGAUUUCAUGCAAUCAUGACUAUAACAUCUGUUAUGGCAUAUAUGAAUAAUUGAGCUGUAAUUGUAGAGGAUUGGAUCAGAGACUCUAAGAAAGUUGCUUGCAAUUCCCUCCACGUGUAACAGCCACCAACAUCUCUUCCCUGAAAAAAUAAGUCUUGACUUGACCAUUAGAUCAUCAGAUUAUGCAUUCCUAUCCGUCCGAUGGGCGUACCAUAAAGGAACCUCGCCUUUGCUGGGUUUAGCUUCAGUUUCAGGCUUUGAGAGCAAAUGAGAAGGCUUUGGUUGAUGGAUUCUUUAUCGGUAAGAUCUCCAUAUUUUUUUUCCAAUUCUUUUUCAGUGAUAUAAUUUUGCUUCUACUUUAUAUUUUAUCAGUUAUAACAAAGUUUGGUUGAUCUAUCCUUCUCCUUUCUUUUCCAUUUGACUCCACUUUGUUCUGCAAUUCUUUAGCAUUCCUUUUAAAAUUUAGAAGAUCUUUAGGGAAGAAUGGCAGAAUCUACAGCUGAGGAGACGAUCAUUGUGUACAAAGAUUCAUCGUCUUCUGAUUCUGAAAGCGAGAAGGCCCUAUUCCCGGUUUUUAAAAAGAAACGGUUGUUUGGGAGGAAGGAACCGGGUGCAUACCAUCCUCGGAGGAGGAAAAUGUAAUGCCUUUUCGGAAUUCUCGUAUCAAUUUCUUUACUUGUAGUCCUAUUGGUGUAAAAAUAUUUUUUACAAGAAGAGUCUCGGAAUAGCUACUCUGAAUUUUGAUUGUGUUAUAUUUGUAGGUUUUUCUUUUUAUGCUAAGAAAUCCAAUCUCCAAAUCUAAUAUUCUUCUCUUUUUUUUUUUGAGAAUAUUUUUCUAUGAUUGGAUAUUUAAUAACUAAAUAUUAAACAUGCAACUGUAGCAUAUAUUGAGCAUCUUUUAAGCUAUAUGGGAAAUAUUAUAUAAGCACUGCUAAAUGUCCCUUCUCUUUUAUUUGUUAAUAGCUUUUUUCUUGGGAAUUUCUGAUUUAGCUCAUAGUAUUUAUGAAGAUUUCUGUUUCAUUUAAUCAAUGUAUUGUAGUUAACCUGGCUCGACCUUAUGUUCUCCCUUGUAUCUGAAUUGCUAAUCAUCAUCUUGUUGGAUGAAGCUUCCCCCCACCUCAGAUAAUAAAUAAAUAAGCAAUUAUCAGCACCUGUUCUGUUUAAAUACAAUUUCUGAAUUUGUAAUGAGGCUAUCCGGAAGCUUAGCUUAUGUGACUUGACUAUAUCUGGUUAUUUGGGCAUGUAAGCAGUACAAGUUCAUUCUCCAUCCAGAAGAGGGUGGUUGCAAUGGAGUAGGGAUGUGAGGGAAGGGUAAAGGGAAAAGCAGAGUGAAUAUGGUUCACUGUGAAGUGUGAACCGAAUAAGAGGUUCUUACUGCCUUCUCUUACAGCAUUUGGUUGUAUUUAGUGGAUUCUCUCGAUGAAUUGGAUGGGUUUCCCUCCCUUGUUAUCAAAAAAGGAAGAAGAAGAAGAAGAACCAGGGAGGAGAGCAUUGACAGCGGAAUAGGUGGAAAAGAAGGUGGGGUUUGUUUUUUGUGGGAUGUCAUUAGAGAGUAUUGAAGCAGCAGCAAAAUUUUGGAAAGCCGAAAUGGAUGACAGUUACUGAUCUGGAAAGACAGCUUGAUUUGGUAAGUGACAGUUGUGAAUUUCAAAAGAAAAUGUUUGGACAUCUAUGCUGAGCUUAGAAAACCAUUUUGUAAUACAUAAUAUGAUGAGAGAUGCUCAUGUCUUCAUUGCUGGUUCAGCUGUCUAUAUAAAACAACACAUGAACCUAGUGAGUGAUCUAUUACAGAUACAGCUGGACAUGAGGGCCCUGUUGUCCUAGCCUUGCCCAUAUGCCGCUUUACUCAUGUUCUCCAGUCAUGAUCUAAAGUCCGUAUUUGUUGUGCCUGAACUUUCCGUGCGAUGAUGAUUAAUCCAUGCACAUUCAAAUCUAAAAAAGAUGAUGUAAGUUCUUCUGACAUAUUAACUUGUGAUCCACAUGUGUAAUAACAAAUUUACUUGCCCAAGAUGGCAUUAGGCAUUUGCUUCUGUAUCUUGUUUUUUCAGAACUAGGACAGGAGAAAACUCGGCCUCAAUUAGGUGCAGGAGAGAUUUGAACCAUCUCACUGGUGUCCGACAACCAGUGACUUUGCCUGAACUUUCUGCAUGAUGAUGAUUCCGUGAAAAUUCAAAUCUAUAAAAAAUGAUGUAAGUUAUUUUGAAGUAUUAACUUUCUGAUCCGCAUAUGUCAUAACAAAUAUUACUUGCCUAAGAUGCCAUUAGACAUUUGCUUCUAUAUGUUGUUUUUUCAAUAACUAGGAUAGGAGAGCUUUGAGGAAAUCAGGUGGGGGGGAGAUUUGAGACAUGUCAGUAUGUCACUGGUGUCCAACCGCCGCUGACUUUACCAACUGAACCAGUUGGCACCUUCCAUUUGCUUCUAUGUUCAUCAUAUCUCAUGUAUCCUUCACUGCCACUAUGAGAGCAAGAUUUAAUAAUGACGAUUGGGUAAAUGUAGACAAAUGAUGUCUAAUCUGUAUAGUUUGUAUGGCAUUUUUCUUUGUUCCUAAAAAUAUAUUAUUAAGAAUACAAUUUAUGCACUCAUUUGGAUGUUUUUCAUCAACUGAAGCUUGUGAUGGGCCUUAUUGAAAUUUUUUGCACAAAGCAUUAUUUUUAAUUUAUAUUUGAUUUUUUUUUAACAAAAAUUCCUUUUUCUUGGCUUUGAUCAAUAUAAUGUACAACGUACCAUUUAUAUUUGGCAGAUGUUGGAAAGAAAUCUCCACCAUUUUGCUUUAAAAAUAGAAAGAUGUUGGGAAGGCAGACAAAUGCUCAAUGAGUUGCUUAAGUUUCUUAAGUUCUCUACUCCAUUUUAGUAUCUAUUUUGUUGCUUGUAGCAUACUUUGGACUGGUCGCUUAAAUUGAUAAAUUGACAUAAUCUUUGCAGUUUAUUUACCAUAUAUCAAGUCUCAUGUGAUCUUUAAAUCUUUCAUAUACCAAUGCUGUUGCUUGAAUUUAUAAUUCUUUUAACCCCAAAUUUCUAUAAUAAUGUAUGAGAAUGCUUUUGCUACGUUAAAACAACAUCUAGUCGCUGAUUUGUUUGUUCUGAUUUCAGCUGCCGAUAUCAUAUUAUGGAGAAACAAGCAAAUGUCAGCGAGUAUUCUUGCUGCUGUUACUGUUCUCUGGCUUCUCUUUGAAUGCAUGGGCUAUCACUUUCUCACUUUUAUCUGUCACUCUGUUAUAUUUUUACUGGUAGUAUUGUUUUGAUAUUAAUUUGAUAUAUUACUAAAUAGUCAGUUUGAGAGAAUUGGAUAUUAAUUUAACAGAUUAGUAAAUAUUUGCCAUAAAUAAUUCAUCUACCUUCUUUUUACCUACUUAUUCAUAAAAGCUACAUUACUUUGAAACAACAUGAACGUAACACAUUCUCUUCAUUGUUGCCCCCUAGUUUACUAGCUGAUGGAAAGAAAGUUGAUGUAAGCAAUGCAGUUUUCUGGUUGCCAUGCAGCAAGCUUACAUACAUGUAUAUCAAUUUACAAUGAUACAGUUUCCAGUUUAUCAUCUACAGUGCAUAAAUUAAUUCCACUAUUUUACUUAUAAAAUUCAGGUCCCCUCCAAAUUUUUUGGAGGUUAUCUUGCCCAAGGACGUGUUCCUAACAAUAGUUCAUUCAGUGAGCCAUAAAAUCAAUGAAACUUUUGCGAUUUUCAGAUUUGUUGCUUCAGGAAAGGAUUUGAAGAAAUUCCACACAGUAAAGCUCCAACAAUUGAUCCUUGUUUUGUGUAAUCUAUGUUCAGUUCUCAGCAGGGAAAAUUGUCAUGCAGGUGAUCACUGGCUUGUGGGUUCUUUCUGUAAUUGGCAGUUGGUUCAGUUUUUUUACUCUUUUCUACAUUGGUCGGUUCCAUUUCAUCCCUCCCUGCUUUGAUGUUUUAUGUUUUGUUUCAUCUAGGAUCCUUUGUUUCCUCCAAUGCAUACCUCAUCUGUCCGUAGCUUGGAGGUCUAGAUAGUUCCAUCCAUGGCAUCUGUUUGAGAGGCAGGGUUGUUAGAUAGCGAUGUCCUUGGUUAUUGAUAUUUAUCAUUCAAUGAAAUUAAUACAUGAAUGGAGUUAGCUACAUGUAUGGUAUAUGAAUAUAUCAUCUUCUAAUUAUAGAGAAAACAUGAUCACAGGUGUUCAUCAAGCCAGCACAGGUGCUUAUCUAUUUGUUGUUUGCAAUUAUAUUAUGCGUGCCUUUUUUUUGAUUACCAGGAUAUCUCUACUUGACAGAAGUAGAAGUUUCAAAAAUGCAUUGACAGCUGCAAAGAUACAAAUACUUGUGGGAUUCUUCACUUAUUUCCACCAAACAAAGAACCAAUUUUAUAGGAAUUAAUUGAACUAUUUUAAAUGAAUGUUAUCAGAAGAUUGUACUGAAUUCAAGGUGGAAGCCUUUUUAACAUGCCUUUUGCUAUUCCUGUAUAUAUAUUUACUACUGCCUGUUCCUGCUCAGCUGUCAAUUAUUUGGGGCCCUCAUACGCUCACUGGCUUUGGAACACACUGGCAAUGAGGUUUGGUCAAAAGAAUGAUGAUGCAGUAUCAGUGUUCAGAGAAGCUGAUACCUGUACCUCUUCUUAUUAUUUUCCUAAUUGCAACCCCUAGAUUACUAACACAUACUGAAGAAACAUGACACAUAAUGAUGAAAGGUCAAGAGUUCUGUAGAUAUGAACAUGGAUGCUAGUUGGAAUUCUUUUGAAUUUCUUUUUGGUUGAUUGAUUUAAUCUACAAGGAAUUUUCCAUUUGUGGUUGACCAAUUUCAAGACUGUCUUCAUGGUAACUAUUUGACUGAUGAAUGUUAUUUUCUAUCUAGUAGUCCUUUUAUAUCAAUAUAACAACCAGUAUCUUUCUCGGAUAAGCAUAAAUUCAAAAAAAAUACACAUCGCCAAGAACUGUCAACUCUGUUUGGUGGCGCCUCUUCCCUAAGAAGUUGCCAUUGCAGGAUAUCCAGGGGUUCAAAACCUGGUUAUUGCUGGAAAAAAGAAAGAUAACUAUGUUUCUAAAUCCUAUAUAUGAGUUUGAAUAAUCUGAAAUCUUAUAAAUCCAUGCUGGUAUGCAAGACAGUGGAUAUCUUCUUGACCAUCAACUAGCACUAGAAACGCUCAAAACAAUAGGGAAGUAUUCAAUUUUAGGUUCCAUGGAUAUAUUUCUCAGACUGCACUUGGCCUAUAACAUGUUGUCCACUCAACUGAUGGACAUUAUGCAUUAACCAUAUAAUUAUGACAUACAGACAAAUAGAUAUGGAUCAACAUUUUGGCCAUGCUUGCUUGCAUAGUUUUGGACAUCUCCUAAUGUAAAUGGUGAGUCAUUGCUUUCUUUAUCAAAACUGUUUUCAGGAAUGCCUAUAUCUAGAGAAGUAUCCCCAGAGAUUGACAGGGGGUUGCAGAAUUAAUUUUUCAGCUUGUUACUUUAUUUUAUUGCACUUUUUUUUUUGUAACAGAUUUCCUUAUGAUCAGGGUACAUUUUUGUGUCCGGAAAUUUGUUAGUUGCCAGUAAUGCAUUACAUAAAUUUUAACAUGUUUAUCGCAUAAUUCUUUGCAGUUUUUGUGCUUCUGUAUUCCUUACCUGCACUUUAUGAGACAGAUGAGGAUCAAGUCAGACACAGCUGCUGGGAAGGCAAUGAUUGAAAUGAACAAGCAAUAUGCUGUUUUAGAUAAAGAAACUUUUGUGCAAAAUUCCCCGAUGCCCAUUCUCUGAUAAGAAGCAGCAAUGAAAAGUGAACUCAUUUCCUUGUCCAUAGAAUUCCAGAGCUUUCCCUCAA